rnacentral:rRNA from 1 species
UACAGAGGGUGCAAGCGUUAAUCGGAGUUACUGGGCGUAAAGGGCGCGUAGGUGGUUGUGUAAGUUGAACGUGAAAUCCCUCGGCUUAACCGGGGAACUGCGUCUGAUACUGGAUGGCUUGAGUUCGGGAGAGGGAUGCGGAAUUCCAGGUGUAGCGGUGAAAUGCGUAGAUAUCUGGAGGAAUACCGGUGGCGAAGGCGGCAUCCUGGACCGACAUUGACGCUGAGGAGCGAAAGCUAGGGGAGCAAACGGG